CGUAAGGCGCCGAAUGAGUCAUUAAAAAAUUAGCAUCAUCCGAUCCCUAGUCGGCAUAGUUUAUGGUUAAGACUACGACGGUAUCUGAUCGUCUUCGAUCCCCUAACUUUCGUUCUUGAUUAAUGAAAACAUCCUUGGCAAAUGCUUUCGCAGUAGUUAGUCUUCAAUAAAUCCAAGAAUUUCACCUCUGACAAUUGAAUACUAAUGCCCCCAAAUAUCCCUAUUAAUCAUUACGUCAUCCUAGAAACCAACAAAAUAGAAUCAAACGUCCUAUUCAUUAUUCCAUGCUAAUGUAUUCAAGCGCGAGCCUGCUUUAAACACUCUAA
rnacentral:rRNA from 1 species